rnacentral:rRNA from 1 species
UACGUAGGGAGCAAGCGUUGUCCGGAAUCAUUGGGCGUAAAGCGCGCGUAGGCGGCCCCGUAAGUCCGCUGUGAAAGUCAAAGGCUCAACCUUUGAAAGCCGGUGGAUACUGUGGGGCUAGAGUCCGGAAGAGGCGAGUGGAAUUCCUGGUGUAGCGGUGGAAUGCGCAGAUAUCAGGAGGAACACCAAUAGCGAAGGCAGCUCGCUGGGACGUUACUGACACUAAGGCGCGAAAGCGUGGGGAGCGAACAGG